rnacentral:misc_RNA from 1 species
CUGCUUGCAAUGAUUUCAACAUAAGAGUGCAAAACACACUGUGACGAGUGGCAACACAAAAAAAUAGCUAUGCCUCUGUUAGCGAUUGACCUGUACCACUUUAUAAAUACCUAUACUAUGGAGCGACCAGUACGCAAGUAAACUGUUCAUGAACAUUUUUUAAUGAAUUGCACAUUUGUAAUGUUUACACCUGCACAUUAUGUCUACUUGACCAAAUAGCACAGUUGCACAAAUGCAGUUUGCAUAGCUGCUAUAACUUCUGUAAUAUUUUCAAAAAUAUAGCUCAGAUUAUUCCACCUACUGAAUUGCUAUGUUUAAUGCAGGAAGCACUGUCAGCUCUUUGACCAUUUGUAUGAUUCCUUAUUGCUAGCAUAUCUCUUGCUGAAUGUAUAUGCACUAUUGUCAGAACUGUUUGUUUAUUUUUCCUUGUAUGAUUUGACAACUGGCUGAACUGAAGUUUUAAUGACGUCUUUAACCUGACUGUGCUACUUGAUCACUUAGGAAAAAAAAAAAAGAAAGAUUGCUGCUGAUGAGAACCUUUGCAGUUUAUGUAUGUGAUCAAGUUUCCUUCAGCACUUAAUCAUUUCUGUAGAUUUUGUAAGGUUUGAUCAUCUUGUACUUAGUUGUGUAACAUUUGUAAAAGCAAUUAAAUUUUUUUUUUAUGUGGCUUAACAGAAUAUGUAAGCCUACUUUUCGCUGGAUGCAUGUGGCAUCAUUCACAUAAGCUGAUGGUUCAAGAGGAUUAUGGGCUGUAACUAAAAUGAGUAACAGUGCAUCACAUAGGAAAAGCAAAAGGAAACUGACGAGCUGCUGCCGAUUGACUAAAUUGUAUUUCUCACAGGACGCUAUAGAAAGGCACCAAAAGAAAAGAGAUGGAGACAAUUGUGUAAAAUCAAAGGAUAAAGUGGAAUACCAAUCAUACCUGUAAAAAAAAAAAAUUUCUUUGGAUUGCAGUAAUGCCAUUUGCACACUUGCACACGUCACCUAUCCUUUUCGUGCAUUAGGCUUCAAAUACUCUUUUUUUGCUCCCCCUCGUUUUCUCCUUGUGGCACUGCUUACUGCACGGUGAAAUUGGUUGACAGUCAGCAUGUCGUCUGCUUCCUUCCGUAUCUCCUGUUUCAUGUGCUGUUAGUGAAUUUAGCUUCUUGUACCAACAAGCACAAGCUAGUUCUCUUUUGAAGAUUAAGCAGGAUGUCCUCUUAACAUCCUCACAUGCUGAAGUGUUGAAACCAGAGCAAUAUAUUUGGGGCAGAAUGGUUGGCACACACUGGUGCACCCUUUCUUGUUGUCUUUCAGCAACCCAUGGCUGGCAAACUCUUGGAGUAGCUGCACGACAGUACCGAGGCCCCCCAUCAGCUUCAGCUAGCUUGGUUUGUCGUCCACACUGGUGCAGUGUGUGCAAUAAGUGCUACAGCAGCGCUGCAAAGCUGAGGCGGCAUCAGACAAUGCACUACCUGCAGCGAAAGUUUUACAAAUGCUCGUACUGUCCACGACGCUACUCUUGGAUGGAGACUCUGCAUGUUCACAUGAAACGCAUCCACGCAGUGUCACAGUUCUACUGGCGGCCACGGAAGAAGACAGGCACAUUUCGUUGUGACGUGUGUGGCAAGCCCUUCAGCAACAAGGCUAAUAUGCAGCGCCACAAGGUGCUCCAUGCAACAGUGCGGGAUGUCUACUUCUGUGACGUCUGCUCACGGCCCUUUUCUUGGAAGAGUAGCCUCGAGAGACACAAGCGUGACAUGCAUGCUGCACUGGCGAGUGGCUCUGGAGCACAGCGCAAUGAAUCAUCUCGUGUGCAUGGCACUUUCCCCAAUGUGAGGUGACAUCUUGGUGGCACUAACCGGUUUUGUCACACCGGCCUUGAACUACUGGCCACAUCCAUGGAGCAAGAUGCUGCUGCUCCUGCUGCAGGCACAGUCGAAGCCAGGCCGACAUGUGACAUCUGUGGUCGCAGUUUCUUCAACAAACAGACUCUGGAGCGUCACAUGGACAGGCAUCGACCGGUACGCCAGUCUUAUGAGUGCGAAGUAUGCCAUAAGACAUAUGCCUUUGUGACGGGACUGUACCACCACCGCAAGACGCAUGGCUCCAUUGCACGCUUCAAGUGCAACUUUUGUGGCGAGCACUUUAUGUACAGCCGUUCCCUGUAUAAGCAUGUCAGUCAGUUGCAUGCAACUGUGUCCAGUGCAGCCACUCAGUAAAUAUUUUUCAACUUCUCAUUGCUGCUGGACUGGAACCUGCUUGCGGCUGUGAUUUAGCAACCUUAUAGGAACUGCAAGUUGUACACAGGUGCGUGCUUCUUUAGCAAUCAUACAGUCAUUGUAGACUUAUACCAGUAGCAUGGGGUUGCUAUUCAUGAUAACAUCACUGUGCAAGAAAAGACUGCUGUCUCCUUUUGUUGCAAGCCCUGGUACAGAACCUUCUGUGGUUUUCCUUGCAGUUCCAUAAAUGUCUCCUUUAGAUGGAAAUACAAUCAGCUCUUUAACCAUUGCAGAAUUGAAGGACUUGUGUUGCAUUGAUAACAUAGGCCUCCAUGACAAUAAUGAUUCACUUAAAAUAAUAUUUAGAGGAUUCAUGCCUCUUGCAAGUUGCAAGAAAGUAUACUAGCUUAGCAUAAUGGCCUUUUUAAAUUUAAAUUAUGGCUGUCCCAUUUGUCACAUUGUCUAAAGAGGGCCUAAGAUGUGCAAUUGUGGACUAAUAAAAGUUAUGCUUUUACA